GACGGCGUUAACCGUUGAUGCGCAUAACCAUUAUAGUAUGACAUCAAGUCCCGCGAGACAGUUGUAAGAGCACAGCUCUCAAAUCGCUCUCGCGGUACUUUGAUGUCAUUAAGGAUCAGUUAAACGAAUAGAUUUGUUUCAACUAGAUAUCCUAUAAACUUUCAAAUGUAACUUAUUUAACUCUCAUAUACGAUCGAUUUUGUGUGUUUCGUGUGUGCAACGUUUUGGCAUAAUGGCAAUAAACAUCGAGAUGAUGAAGCUGUAAUUUUCAGUAAGGUUUUUUUGUAUUUUUUUUAAUAAUACAUGCUUAACGUUACCCGCCUAGAUAAAUAGAUAAUAAACACAGCCAAUCGAGAGUACCUCGUUUAAAAAAAAAAAACGAAAUCCGGAAAUAUUAAGUUAAUUCGUGCAUUCCGGGCAAGUUCAGAUUUUAGUUAGAACAAGUUUUGAUUAAAUUAUUACAAGUUGAUAAUGAAUUUAAAUCAUUUAUAGAUAUAAAAAACAUCUUACCUUCUAUGAAUAAUUCAAAUAUAUUCCUUGCUGCUGAAUCAGAAUUGCGCCGUCGUCCAUUUGCCUCCUUGGCGCCACCGGAAGUUUAGGUAAUCAAGCGCAUGCGCAACACCUGGCAUUGCACCUUAUGGUAUCCAAUUAAGUAUGGUUUAUGUAAUUUGAUCAGAUUGCUCUUAAAUACAUCACAUUCAUGUUGUGUACGAGUAAUUCAGACAGAUAACAUUUAUUUUACAUUUUUUCAAAUAUAUUUAAUUUGGAUUGUUUGCUUAAUAUCAAUUACUGACAAGAAUCAUUUUUUUGAGUGUACCGUGAGUUAACGAGGUCGUUUACAUGCACGUGAGUGCACUGAUAUCGGUUAAUUAUUCAAAUUACUGAAAAACACGGAGAAAACCGCAACCGCAUCGUCAUAUGUUUUUCUAAGAUGUAUGCAAACAGGGGAAAUAUCGCCAAACCAACAAUUAAUUUGACCAAAACCCCACAAUAUAUCAUCAUUUGUAUGCACAGAUUGGAUGCAUUGUGUGUUGUAAGCUUUUCGUGGCGCUAGAUGUCAGACAGAUGCAAAUGGCAAAUACAUACGAAAGUGUAAAACGUGUAUGGCGAACAUUUGUUUUUUUCUGUCAUUAUAGAUGCUAGUUUGAUGAAAGUUCACACUGAGUGCUUCAAAUCAUUCAGAAGAGAUGCUGUUUUUAGGGCAGUUUAUUAAAGAAGACCUGACAUGGAUGACUUCCAAUGAGAAACGACUGCUAAUACUUAUAUAAAUUCAUUACAGAAGGACCCUACCAGACUAUAUUUGAAUACGGCAUACCCAUGAAUUCUGGAACUGUUAUUCCUUAACCCAGUUUGGAGGAUAAGAGCUUACCAACUAGUUAUAAAUAUGCUGAGGUGAUGUAUUGCAAAAUAGCCAACAUACAACAAUAUGGAUGACCCUCUGUCUGGUCAACAGGAGUUUAAAUAUGGACGGGACAGUGAUGUGGCAGCUCUUCCCUGGCUCAUUCACCUCUUGCCUUCAUUUGUGAAAGGAAGAAAGACUGGAGAGGGUCAAUGUGCAACUGAAGCUACUGAUUGUGCUGUGUGAUGAGCAUCAAUCCAUGCUUUGAGGGGAAUGAAUCAGCACAGCCCUGCCUGCACUGCGUUGGGAACAGAAGUUGCAUCCAGAAUUUUUGCAUCAUUCUGGACCAAAAAGCCAUUCCCUCCAUGAUGAAGACCACUGAUGCAGCCUUCCACUACAUCAUGAGUAAAACAACUACAGAACUAAAUACCAGGUUGGAACGUAUUUAAGAAAAAUGAAACGUCUUUUGAAUUGAAAUGUCUGUUUUGUUAUGGAAAAAUCUUUAGUAUUGUGAAGGAUAAGCAUUUCUGCCUGCCAGUAAGGUAAUUGCAGUGUAUUUUAAUGUUCAAGUUUUGAGUAGGGUGGCUAAUUUUUUUAACUCUCAUUUGAUAUAUUAAAGACCUUAUAAUAAGUGGUUUUCAUGUCACUGCGCUGUGGUAUAAGAUAACUUUCAUUAUUCCAUACUGUAUUCUGUAUUCUAAUUGUAGCUGAGGUAUUUAAAUAAGCAGUAUUAAAUGCAAAGUGUUGUGUGUAUCAAUGUAAAUAUUAAAUGUGAUGUACUUUAAUAAAAAGAGGUUUUGCAAUAUUUCUUGUCAUUUGUCUUUUAUAGAAACAACCCAUUAGCAACAAAAGUGGCUAUUAAUCAGUAUUUUAACACUUAACAUUGUUGAAUUCACAUUACACCGGUGUUGACUUUAAAUUAGGAGUGUUAAUUUUUAACACUGUAUUUCUGUGCCAACACCAGUGUAGUGUGGAAACAACAAUGAAUAGUGUUGAACAAAGUGUAAAAUUUAACAAUAUUGAGUGUUAAAUUAACAUAUAAUGAGUGUUGUUAAAUUAACACUACACUUUUGACUAAAUUAACACAGUGUAGUG